rnacentral:rRNA from 1 species
AUUGAACGCUGGCGGCAUGCUUUACACAUGCAAGUCGAACGGUAACAGGCCUUCGGGUGCUGACGAGUGGCGAACGGGUGAGUAAUGCAUCGGAACGUGCCCAGAGGUGGGGGAUAACGCAGCGAAAGCUGUGCUAAUACCGCAUGUGAUCUGAGGAUGAAAGCGGGGGACCAGGCAGCAAUGUUUGGCCUCGCGCCUUUGGAGCGGCCGAUGUCAGAUUAGGUAGUUGGUGGGGUAAAGGCCUACCAAGCCGACGAUCUGUAGCUGGUCUGAGAGGACGACCAGCCACACGGGGACUGAGACACGGCCCAGACUCCUACGGGAGGCAGCAGUGGGGAAUUUUGGACAAUGGGCGCAAGCCUGAUCCAGCAAUGCCGCGUGCGGGAAGAAGGCCUUCGGGUUUUAAACCGCUUUUGUACGGAACGAAAAGGCUCUGGCUAAUACCUGGGGCUGAUGACGGUACCGUAAGAAUAAGCACCGGCUAACUACGUG